UUUGUUUGUCUUAGGACCUGCAUAGUGCCUAGCACAGUGUCUGACAGGUAACAGGCACCCAAACUUUGAAGGAAGGAAAGAAGGAAUGAAAGAAUGGAGGUAGUGAAAUGGCAGAACAAUCCCUGAUGCUAACGGAAUUGAAGGCAGGGGGUCAGUCAGGAGCCGGCUAGCCUGGCCCUGCACUAGCCAGGCCCUGCCCUGUUCCCCACUCCCUGCACUCUGGGAGUCCCGGGCCCACUUGCCUGCUUCUCAUUAUCCCCUUGGUUCCUGCAUGAGGUCCCAUCAGAGACCAAAGCAGAGGCAGUGUCAGUUCCUUUGCUGCAAGGGGAAAGCAGAGGAGGAUGUGCCCUUCACUCCAACUGUCCAGGCUACACAGAGGGAAAAUGACCCCUGCUGUCUAAGUUGGAUCCUUGACUGCAUUUUUCCCGAACUCAUAUUCCUGGACAUAGCAGUUAGGUUCGCUAGUACUACUACCACUGUAUUCCAGACAGAUUUUUGGCCAAACAAAAUUUUGAGGGUUGGCUUGGGGACCUAAACACCUUCUGUAACAAUCUUUUUCUAAGAAAAUGCUUUUGUGAUUUCUAAUGCUGUGUUGUAGACUUUCCAAAGCUAAAUAUAAACUGCUUGUAUUGCAUGCUCCCUAUGGCCUGUACUCUUGGCCCAGGAAAAACACUUGAGGCAAGGACUGUGCCUCCUUGGAAUCCUCUACUAAGAGCUGUACAAAGGCCGUGCCUUGCUCAUCAAUGUGUGUUAAGAGGCUAGUAAGUGAAUUUGGGUGUCUAAUCUGAUCUUGCCCACAGCAAUUUUGGAAAGUUUUGACCAUGAAUGCAAAGGGCCAUCUCUGUCAUGCUGCCUCACACCCAAGGUUUCUAUAACUUAACUCAAGCCUUUCACCGCAGAGAAGACACUGCAGACCGUGAACUCCAGUCCGUUCAGGAAGGGAGAUCUCAUUACCCAUGGCCCACAGCCCGGACUAUCAGCCUCCCAUCAGGAGCAGCUUGAAUGGCACUGGCUCACCCUGAACUUCUGCAUUUGGCUUGUGGCCCGGAGGGGAGACUUUGCAUGUUUGACUUUCUUGAGCUCUUCACACAUUUGUCUUUAACUAGUACACUGCUGGUGCGCUUGGGAGAAAUUACCUUUGAGCAUUUCACCUUAACUGAUCUUUUUUCCCCUGGCUUUUCUUUUUAGCCGUUUGCUGCCUUAUUUUCAGCCUUCACCACAGAAUUUGACUGGUGCAUUCAACGUUCAACUUCCUUUUUUUUUUUUUUUUUUGCAUUGACAUUGCUGUUCUUCACGCCCCUUUGGUUUGCAGCAUACCCUUUUCGCCCUAAUUUUGCUCAGUUUCCAUUGUAAAAGCUGCAUUUCCUCUCCAGUCUAUCAUCACCUCUGUAAACAACAAGUCUGGAUGUGUGUCCAGAUGAGCCCCAGAGAUCUCCUCCAGGCCUCUGCACGCAGAGUGCUUGCGUGCUUAAUAUCCGCAAAGCCACCUUCGCUGCCUUGAGCGAGGAGACGCAGAGUCAGGCACGGCAGCAACGGAUGUUCAUCCUCCCAAAACGGUAUCAGGCAACAUGUUUGGCCACUACAGUUGUCUCACAGUAGCUAAUUCAGAAGCCAGCUCUGGCUGCCGUGCAUCCUUAAUGGGAAAUGCCUCCAGUCCUACGCUUGCAAUCAGGUCAACCAAAGGUUCACUUCCCAGCACAUUUGGAAGAAUGGUCUUCUUUUUAAAAGUUGGAAAAACUGAGUCAGAGAGAGGUGAAGAUGAAGUUUACACAUCUGUCAGCACCAUCAUGUCUCUUGUCUGUAAUGGUGAAUGGGAUAGACAAGAUUUCUAGAAACAUGUAUUUCAUAAAUGUGGACAAAUUAUUAAGGAAAAAUAUAUUAAUGUGAAAUAAUUUAACAGAUGAAUUACAUGUAAUUUGCAUUUUUUGCAAGUAAAUAAUAGUAAUAUCUAUUUGCUUAGCCUUAUACAGCUAAAAAAUGUUUCCCAUAUAUGAGCUUAGAAAAAGCUCUUAACGUGCAUGAAUAUGGGCAUUCUCUGUUCACAGAAUGAUAAAUAGAGUCAUAGAGCGUGUCUGGGCCAAAGUUCCCGGGCGAGUGGGUGCCAGAAUCAGGACUAAAACCCUGCCUUCUAACCAGAGACCAGCUCCUCUUUAUUCCCUCCUGCUGCUGUGAGCAGGAAGGGGAUACAGGAACUUCAUGUCGAGAGCCUGGAUUAAGUGACAUUUCACUUCAUGGGGAAGUCUUCCUAGAGGCAUUUGAGAAGUUCUAGGGAACCUUGCUAUUUUGAGACAAUAUGUUUUCUUCAAACCAAGGAACACCAUUUGAGGACGUUUAGUGAAUGAAGUUCUGGGGAAAGCCCAGUGGUAGCAGGAGUGGUGGUGGAGGACUUUCCCCACUUGUCAUCUUCCAUUUACAUUUAGAUAAGGCCUGGUGGAGAACUGUAUAGCCAGUUGCAGGAUAAGUUUGAGUUGGUGUGAUCUGAAACGCAGCCAGUUCCUCUCUUUCUAAAAGGCAGAGGCACGGUAUCUAAGACUGGUAUCUUGAAAUGUAUGUGAGAACCUUCUAGCCCUGAGAGUUCCCAUCAGGCUAGGAGGUCACAGCUCUUCUAACAUGAACCGCAGCUCCGCAAUCAGUAUAAAAGUCUACAAUUACGACCAUUCUUUGGAAUCCUCUCAGCCAACAAGGACAUUCCUUGGCUGGCUUAGAAAAACCAGUGCAGAUUUGCACUGGGAAAGGAAUGCAGUCUGGAAGAAUGGCCAAUGAUUUACAGAUUAAGUCUCCUAUUAACUAAGAAAGAAUAAGGAAAGGAGGUUUAAAAACCAUUCUGCCACCGCUGCGAAAAUGUUUACAGGAGAAGCAGCGUGAGUGAGAAGGUGGGGAGGUGGCAGAAGCGCUGAAUGGGACACAGAAUUGAAUGGUGGAACCAGGAGUGACCUGGCAUCGUCAUCGGGAUCCCUUAGGUCUUCAUAGCAGUUGUGACUUUCCGAGAUGAUUCAGUACUUACUAUCUCAAUGGGUUAAAAAUUAUAAAAGACUCGGUGGGUUCAGGCAGAGAGGCACCAUUUCCAUCUUAGAUAAAGACACUGAGUUUCGGCGAGGUUAGGCGUUUUAUCCAGGCAAGUCCGAAGUGGCUGAGCAGCCUCCCGAUUUCGAGGCCUGAUUUCUGAUGGCCACUAGGCGCCUGCCUCACCGCAGAAGGAGAAAGUCUUGACCCAUAACCUGGGGAAACGGGAUUGCCCGAGUGAGGCGUGAGGAGGUGGAGUUUCUCUAACUGCUCCUCAGAGAAGGAUGCUGAGUGAGGAAGACAAUGGCUGGCAGGCCUGGUGCCAGGGACUCUGGGAGGAAGGGGCUGGAGAGGUCCAGGAGAAACAUGGGCAGGAACUGGACUGAGACAGCGUUUGAAAGAUGAACGGGGAGAUGGAAGUUUGGAGAUGGAAAGGAAAAGGCAAGCUGCAGCAGUUGACAACGGAAAGGCAACGGCCUGUGGAAAAUAACUCAGAGACUUCCUGCUUCUGAAGCCAGUGCUAUGCUGUCAUAGCCCACUGCUCCUGGCAGAGCUUGGUUUGGAGCAAGAUCAGCUGAUGUGUUCAGCAGUCAAGCCCCACUUUGGGAGACUCAGUGCCUGAGCCCAGGUCAGAAAAAAAAUAUGCAGAUAAUGGAUGUUCCUCACCCUAAGGAGCUGGAUCUGAGGCAAUAAUGUAAUAAAUACUCGUUGAUCGCUCAGAAGUCAUCCUACCUGCAUUCUAAUCCCAGCUCUAGCAUUUAAUAUUUUGGAUGAACUGUGUGACUUUACUGGGCCUGGUUUUCCCCUCUGUUAAACUAGAAAAGAGGGGGCAUUGACUAGAUUAGCUUGGCUUUUUUAAGUUAGAGACCUCUUUGAGAUUUCGGUGAACACUAUGAACUUACUGCAUGUGAAAAUGCACCAGCAUCAAAAGUAAUAAAAUAAUUACACUCAGCAAAAGAAAUGCAAGAUUUAUACACUAAAAAACUUUAAAACUGUAGUUUGAAGUGAGGUUCUGCCAGAUUCUGAACCCAGGUUUAAGAAAUUGGCAGCUUCCAUUUCCUGUGUCUUGGAGCAUUUAUUCUUAGAAGCCCUCCGCCACGCUGUGAGGAAGCACAAGCUGUCCUACAGAGAAAUCUACAUGGAGAAGAGCCAAGGCCUCCCAGCUACAGCCCCCUGUGAGCUCCUGGCUGAUGGCCAGCACAGACUUGACAGACACGUCAGUGAGCCAUCUUGGAAACUGGAUCCAGGCCCAGAUGAGCUGCCCCAGCUGAUGACUCCUGAGCAGAGAGACAGAAAAUAUGAAUGGGUCUCCUGGGAAAAGAGGGUUUGUGUUCUUUGCAAGUUAAGCACCUCACCAAUGGAUCAACUCACUAGGUCACUGAUUACCCUCAAGAAGCUGAUCAAAGGCCCGACAACCACAGUGCCCGCCAGCAGCAAAGGGAAAGACCACUGAAUGAAGGAUUUGAUGAAGACCACAUGUCUUAUGCCAUCUGGGAACUUUAUAUUGACUCAGGUUUCUAGAACUAAUCUGUAAUUUGCUUGUGGAAAGGCUGGAUGGAUUGCAUUGUAUACAUUUUACUACAGAGGGUAGUAAGAACUAUCUUGGUUGAGAAAAAUAAAAGGAAAUAUCUUUCUGUGAUCUUCCAUGUUUCACUGUCAAAAACUCUAAGGAAAGAAGAUCAGUGGUGCAUAGAUUGGCUGUCCAAAUAAACUUAAAAAAUCUCCUCAAGUAAGAAGAGAGAUAAAUGUUACCUUGAAAACUUGAUCAACUCAAAUACAUACAGACUAGGAAGCAUUACAGGCUUCAAUUGAAAUACUGUGUAUAUGUGUGACAGUUUCAUACCUUGGUACUCGUACUUAGGAUAGAAUAUGGAAGAAUCGCCAAAAAAUCAUCAAAUGAAGGCUGACUCAAAACCAGGAU